UCCUCCCCGCAGUGUCUGGGUGCAAGUGUGGGCUCUCGGGCUCUCGGCUGUCACCUGCCUGUGGGUCAUCGCUGCUGGCACUGGCAGAGGGGAUACCUGUCUCCUCCUGGAAGCCCCUUGCAGGCCAAGGGGUCCCACGGCCCUGAGUCCAUCCACCUCCUCACCUCAGGCCGGCCUCUGCUGGGUGGGACUUGGCCAGGGGUUGGGGUGGUAGGGGUGCUUGGUGAGGCUUAAAGCCAUUUUCUAGCACAUUCUGUAUCAUGAGCACAAUAUUGCCUAGGGGCUGUGAAAUUUGUAUCAGAAUAAACCCCAUAUAAGCCUCUUCCCUGUCACUGGGUGUGGAGCUCAGGCAGCCGCUCGCCUGCCUGAGGGUGAGGGUGAAAGGCCACGCGGGGAUCCCAGACCUCUGUGUGCUUGCCGGAGGAAGCCUGCGGGCAGAAUGCAAUCUGGGCCUGUCUGUGUGGCCUCCGCCUCUCUGCAUGACUACACCGUUUCGCCACGAGGCCGUAACCUAGUGCUCCCGUGGGCUUCGGUGAGGGGGAUGUCGGUCUCUCUAGCCUCCUGAGUCUGCUCCCACCAAUAGGCCUGGUCUUCCCCACCCAGCGUCUCCCCGUUCUCUGGGACGAUGUGGUCCACGUGAUUCUCAAGCUGAGGCUCGCUGGGCCGCCCACGCCCUGUUGGGGUCUUUCCAAGCGAGGUCCUCGGCCGUGCAUGCAUUGAGCUUUGGCCCCUUGGUGAUAGGUGGCUCGGCCCGCCCUGCCUGGCACCCUGACCCUGGUCACGGCCUCUCCCUCCAGCAGGAUACAGACGUCCCUCACCAGUGCCAGCUUGGGGUCUGCAGACGAGAACUCCGUGGCCCAGGCUGACGAUAGCCUGAAAAACCUCCACCUGGAGCUCACGGAAACCUGUCUGGACAUGAUGGCUCGAUACGUCUUCUCCAACUUCACGGCUGUCCCGAAGAGGUCCAGGCGGCACUCCAGGGCUGGGCGGGCCUGCGGGAGCCCCACGGGCGAGCUGGGUUUCACGUUCCCUGUCUUCUAGGUCUCCUGUGGGCGAGUUCCUCCUGGCGGGUGGCAGGACCAAAACCUGGCUGGUUGGGAACAAGCUUGUCACUGUGACGACAAGCGUGGGAACCGGGACCCGGUCGUUACUAGGCCUGGACUCGGGGGAGUUGCAGUCCGGCCCAGAGUCGAGCUCCAGCCCCGGCGUGCAUGUGAGACAGACAAAGGAGGCGCCGGCCAAGCUGGAGUCCCAGGCUGGGCAGCAGGUGUCCCGUGGGGCCCGGGACCGGGUCCGUUCCAUGUCGGGGGGCCAUGGUCUUCGAGUUGGCGCCCUGGACAUGCCGGCCUCCCAGUUCCUGGGCAGUGCCACUUCUCCAGGACCACGGACUGCACCAGCCGCGAAGCCUGAGAAGGCGUCAGCUGGCACCCGGGUUCCUGUGCAGGAGAAGACGAACUUGGCGGCCUACGUACCCCUGCUGACCCAGGGCUGGGCGGAGAUCCUGGUCCGGAGGCCCACAGGGAACACCAGCUGGCUGAUGAGCCUGGAGAACCCGCUCAGCCCUUUCUCUUCGGACAUCAACAACAUGCCCCUGCAGGAGCUGUCCAACGCCCUCAUGGCGGCUGAGCGCUUCAAGGAGCACCGGGACACAGCCCUGUACAAGUCAUUGUCGGUGCCGGCGGCCAGCACGGCCAGACCCCCUCCUCUGCCUCGCUCCAACACAGACUCCGCUGCGGUCGUGGAGGAGGGAAGUCCUGGCGAGGUUCCUGUGCCAGUGGAGCCCCCAGGCUUGGAGGACUUUGAGGCAGCGCUAGGCAUGGACAGGCGCACGGAUGCCUACAGCAGGUCGUCCUCAGUCUCCAGCCAGGAGGAGAAGUCGCUCCACGCGGAGGAGCUGGUUGCCAGGGGCAUCCCCAUCGAGCGAGCCGUCUCCUCGGAGGGUGGCCGGCCCUCUGUGGACCUCUCCUUCCAGCCCUCGCAGCCCCUGAGCAAGUCCAGCUCCUCUCCCGAGCUGCAGACCCUGCAGGACAUCCUCGGGGACCCUGGGGACAAGGCCGACGUGGGCCGGCUGAGCCCUGAGGUUAAGGCCCGGUCACAGUCAGGGACCCUGGACGGGGAAAGUGCUGCCUGGUCAGCCUCGGGCGAAGACAGUCGGGGCCAGCCGGAGGGUCCCUUGCCUUCCAGCUCCCCCCGCUCGCCCAGUGGCCUCCGGCCCCGAGGUUACACCAUCUCCGACUCGGCCCCAUCACGGAGGGGCAAGAGGGUAGAGAGGGAUGCCUUUAAGAGCAGAGCCACAGCCUCCAAUGCAGAGAAAGUGCCGGGCAUCAACCCCAGUUUCGUGUUCCUGCAGCUCUACCAUUCCCCCUUCUUUGGCGACGAGUCAAACAAGCCAAUCCUGCUGCCCAAUGAGUCACAGUCCUUUGAGCGGUCGGUGCAGCUCCUCGACCAGAUCCCAUCAUACGACACCCACAAGAUCGCCGUCCUGUAUGUUGGAGAAGGCCAGAGCAACAGCGAGCUCGCCAUCCUGUCCAACGAGCAUGGCUCCUACAGGUACACGGAGUUCCUGACGGGCCUGGGCCGGCUCAUCGAGCUGAAAGACUGCCAGCCCGACAAGGUGUACCUGGGAGGCCUGGACGUGUGUGGUGAGGAUGGCCAGUUCACCUACUGCUGGCACGAUGACAUCAUGCAAGGACGUGGACAGGCACCGCUGCGACAAGAAGCGCCACCUGGGCAAUGACUUUGUGUCCAUUGUCUACAAUGACUCCGGCGAGGACUUUAAGCUCGGCACCAUCAAGGGCCAGUUCAACUUUGUCCACGUGAUCGUCACCCCGCUGGACUAUGAGUGCAACCUGGUGUCCCUGCAGUGCAGGAAAGACAUGGAGGGCCUUGUGGACACCAGCGUGGCCAAGAUCGUGUCUGACCGCAACCUGCCCUUCGUGGCCCGCCAGAUGGCCUUGCACGCAAAUAUGGCCUCACAGGUGCACCAUAGCCGCUCCAACCCCACCGACAUCUACCCCUCCAAGUGGAUUGCCCGGCUCCGCCACAUCAAGAGGCUCCGCCAGCGGAUCUGUGAGGAAGCCGCCUACUCCAACCCCAGCCUGCCUCUGGUGCACCCCCCGUCCCAUACCAAAGCCCCUGCACAGACUCCAGCCGAGCCCACACCUGGCUACGAGAUGGGCCAGCGGAAGCGCCUCGUCUCCUCCGUGGAGGACUUCACCGAGUUCGUGUGAGGCCGGGGCUCCCCCUGCUGCGCUGGCCUUGGACAGUAUUGCAUGUCAGUGAAAUAAAGUCCUGGCCCCAGUGCACAGACACAGAGGCACAGAUUGC
rnacentral:sRNA from 1 species